rnacentral:rRNA from 1 species
AGCAGCCGCGGUAAUUCCAGCUCCAAUAGCGUAUAUUAAAGUUGUUGCAGUUAAAAAGCUCGUAGUUGAAUUUCGGGGUUAGUAGAUUGGUCAUGCCUCUGGUAUGUACUGGUCUCACUGAUUCCUCCUUCCUGAUGAACCUUAAUGCCAUUAAUUUGGUGUUUUGGGGAAUUUGGACUGUUACUUUGAAAAAAUUAGAGUGUUUAAAGCAAGCUAACGCUCGAAUACAUUAGCAUGGAAUAAUGAAAUAGGACGUUCGAUCCUAUUUUGUUGGUUUCUAGGAUUGACGUAAUGAUUAAUAGGGAUAGUUGGGGGCAUUAGUAUUCAAUUGUCAGAGGUGAAAUUCUUGGAUUUAUUGAAGACUAACUACUGCGAAAGCAUUUGCCAAGGAUGUUUUCAUUAAUCAAGAACGAAAGUUAGGGGAUCGAAGACGAUCAGAUACCGUCGUAGUCUUAACCAUAAACUAUGCCGACUAGGGAUCGGAUGAUGUUAAUUUUUUAAUGACUCA